rnacentral:rRNA from 1 species
UACGUAGGUGGCAAGCGUUAUCCGGAAUUACUGGGUGUAAAGGGAGCGUAGACGGUAAUGUAAGUCUGGAGUGAAAGGUGGGGGCCCAACCCCCGGACUGCUCUGGAAACUAUGUUACUAGAGUGCAGGAGAGGUAAGCGGAAUUCCUAGUGUAGCGGUGAAAUGCGUAGAUAUUAGGAGGAACACCAGUGGCGAAGGCGGCUUACUGGACUGUAACUGACGUUGAGGCUCGAAAGCGUGGGGAGCAAACAGG